rnacentral:rRNA from 1 species
GACGAACCGUGCGAACGUUAUUCGGAAUCACUGGGCUUAAAGGGCGCGUAGGCGGGCUCGCAGGUCAGGGGUGAAAGCCCACGGCUCAACCGUGGAAGUGCCUUUGAUACCGUGAGUCUCGAGGGAGGUAGGGGCGUGCGGAACUUCCGGUGGAGCGGUGAAAUGCGUAGAUAUCGGAAGGAACAUCGGUGGCGAAAGCGGCGCGCUGGACCUCUUCUGACGCUGAGGCGCGGAAGCCAGGGGAGCAAACGGG